GAUGAACGCUGGCGGCGUGCCUAAUACAUGCAAGUCGAGCGAACAGACGAGGAGCUUGCUCCUCUGACGUUAGCGGCGGACGGGUGAGUAACACGUGGAUAACCUACCUAUAAGACUGGGAUAACUUCGGGAAACCGGAGCUAAUACCGGAUAAUAUAUUGAACCGCAUGGUUCAAUAGUGAAAGACGGUUUUGCUGUCACUUAUAGAUGGAUCCGCGCCGCAUUAGCUAGUUGGUAAGGUAACGGCUUACCAAGGCAACGAUGCGUAGCCGACCUGAGAGGGUGAUCGGCCACACUGGAACUGAGACACGGUCCAGACUCCUACGGGAGGCAGCAGUAGGGAAUCUUCCGCAAAGGGCGAAAGCCUGCCGGAGCAACGCCGCGUGAGUGAUGAAGGUCUUCGGAUCGUAAAACUCUGUUAUUAGGGAAGAACAAAUGUGUAAGUAACUAUGCACGUCUUGACGGUACCUAAUCAGAAAGCCACGGCUAACUACGUG
rnacentral:rRNA from 1 species